rnacentral:ribozyme from 1 species
UAGAAAGCAAGCAAGAAAGAAAGAAAGAAAGCGGUUCAUAAUAAUAUGUGCCAUAGGUUUCCAAACUACUGUACUCUCACUUCUUUUCUUUGUUUUCUGUAGUCAUCUUCUACUAGUACUACUAAUUAAUUUCCCUAUGAAAA